rnacentral:rRNA from 1 species
GAUGAACGCUGGCGGCGUGCCUAAUACAUGCAAGUCGAGCGAACGGACGAGAAGCUUGCUUUUCUGAUGUUAGCGGCUGACGGGUGAGUAACACGUGGAUAACCUACCUAUAAGACGGGGAUAACUUCGGGAAACCGGAGCUAAUACCGGAUAAUAUUUUGAACCGCAUGGUUCAAAAGUUAAAGACGGUCUUGCUGUCACUUAUAGAUGGAUCCGCGCUGCAUUAGCUAGUUGGUAAGGUAACGGCUUACCAAGGCAACGAUGCAUAGCCGACCUGAGAGGGUGAUCAGCCACACUGGAACUGAGACACGGUCCAGACUCCUACGGGAGGCAGCAGUAGGGAAUCUUCCGCAAUGGGCGAAAGCCUGACGGAGCAACGCCGCGUGAGUGAUGAAGGUCUUCGGAUCGUAAAACCCUGUUAUUAGGGAAGAAAAUAUGUGUAAGUAACUGUGCACAUCUUGACGGUACCUAAUCAGAAAGCAACGGCUAACUACGUG